rnacentral:rRNA from 1 species
CCUACGGGUGGCUGCAGUGGGGGAUAUUGCACAAUGGAGGAAACUCUGAUGCGGCAACGCCGCGUGAGUGAAGAAGGUCUUCGGAUUGUAAACCUCUGUCUUCAGGGACGAUAAUGACGGUACCUGGGGAGGAAGCUCCGGCUAAUUACGUGCCAGCAGCCGCGGUAAUACGUAGGGAGCAAGCGUUGUCCGGAUUUACUGGGUGUAAAGGGUGCGUAGGCGGCCUUGCAAGUCAGGUGUGAAAACUAUGGGCUUAACUCAUAGAUUGCAAUUGAAACUGUGGGGUUUGCGUGAAGUAGAGGCAGGCAGAAUUCCCGGUGUAGCGGUGAAAUGCGUAGAAAUCGGGAAGAACACCAGUGGCAAAGGCGGCCUGCUGAGCUUUAACUCACGCCGAGGCACGAAAGCGUGGGUAGCAAACAGGAUUAGAUACCCGAGUAGUC